AGGGAUAUAGCUCAGUGGUAGAGUGUGUGCUUAGCAUGCACAAGGUCCUGGGUUCAAUCCCCAGGACCUCCA
rnacentral:tRNA from 1 species